UUUUUUUUUGGAUGAGGGGGUGCACGUAAUUAUGCAGUAAAGAUGGCAAGAUUUUUCUCCCUUUCCUGGUGGACUUCUGCAGACCGUGUCAAGCUAGAGGAUUUACUGGCCCACUGGCCUCAUUGCCAAAGGCAGUUUUUCCCCACACUCAUAGGAUUAAAGCAUUCCAACAAAAUAAAAAAUAAAAAAUUAACACAUCAUGUUAAAUCUAGAAUCAAUCAAAUUAAAGGUUGCCAAAUAUUGAGCCCACUCUUUAUCGGCUGUAAAUCAAUGUUAAGAAUUUACAAUUAUUUUGUUUAGAAUUUAUUAUCAGUUGACUUUGUUAAAGCAAUGAAUCGAUUUUUACUUACUGGUAAUUAUCACCAUGCCUUUUUGUGCCUUACUCGUGUAUGCUUCUCUUCACAAUUUGCACACGUCAGGGGUUUUGCCACCUGGAGUAGGGUGGAACAGCUGCCCAAAUAAGCGCCAACCUUCUUUAUGAUUACCCCUAAAUAACUUGUAACAGCACAGACAGACAGAGUUAAAUAUUAUAUGCUCAUAAUGAAGGCCUUUUGACAACCUGCACAUUUUUUAACCCAUUUGAAAUGUUUGCUCAGGUUUAUGAUUUUCCUCAAACUGGAAGUUAGGGACACUGACUCAUUAAAGCCAUAAUCCUCUCUGUGUGCCGCAUUUUUUAUGGUUACCCACUUUCUCAUGUGACCUCACAGUCAUUGCCUUCCUCCCAGUUAAUUUAUGUGUCUACCUCCCCCUCUCGCUUCUCCAUUCCAAGGAAAUUACAGCAUGCUGUCGGGUAUAACAAAUUUGCUUUCUGAUUAUCUUGUGGAAGCUCUUUAUAGCAAUCAGCUGUGGUGAUCCAAAAAGAUGUAGUUCUCCUGCAAAAUGACAUUCAGUUUUCAGGGUUGCUCAGAGUUGGACUGCCACAACGGUGCAACCUGAUAUCUGUUGGACCUCACGGAUCGAAUCCCAGCGGUGAAAAAUCAGGACUGGUCGUUCAACCCGAGAGAAUCCAUCUAACACUCGUGGAUACAUAUAGCAAAUGUUUAUUCACUGCUGCCCCCUACAGGUCUUUUGUUUUCCCUCCACUGGUUGGCAGAUCGCUUUUUUUAGAUGGCAAUCACGUCAGAGUUGUAAGUUACGACCAAAGGUCAUCAAGUGGAAAGCUCCGCAGAUGUCUUCUUUCACAGAGACUCUGCUGUGUCCUGUAAUUUUGUUGCAGACAGCGCGUGAAUGGAAUAUUAAUGUAUUAUGAAGACAUAUGUCUCCCUCUGCUGGCGUACUCAAUCACAAUAUUUCUUGAGGCUUAACAAAAUGUCCUAUUGAUCUCCAUUUUACACUUAGUUACAGUUUAUUUUUAUUUAUGAUUUUGUAUUUUAUGUAAUGUUUUAAUUUUUUUUAUUCAGCCCCCACAAAACAAUAAUUUAUGAUCAUAUACUUUCACUAAUCUUUAAAAAAAAAAAAACAUUUAUUAUACUAUUUUUCUUAAAUGCACCAACUCUCAUUAUCUAACUGCUCAGUAAAUCAGAUUAAAGAACAGAACGGGCUGGACUGUAAGCCAUACUUUGCCUAUCCCUGUGCUAACAUUCAAAUACACUAAAAUACACUUCACUCUGUGUAUUCAACAUGCUCCACAUAACUACGAUGUGUCCUUACUGUAUGUCAUACUGUUGACAGUUGGAGCCGGUUUGUGGUCACAUGAUCUUCUCCAUAGAUUAGUGGAAUGGAGUCAUGAAGCUUCUGAAUGUGACCUGUGGAAUGAAACUCCCACCAUUGUUUGGCUAGCACACAAAGAACAAACCAGCAACCUCUGCGGCGUCAAUGCUUGGUGGUGAUGUCACUAGUUUUUCUUUCCCAGUCUUUUCAUUGUGCUGUUUCGUAUGUGUGCGCGUGUAGGAUGUUGCUCAGGAGUUAACUAUCACACUGGUACUAUACGCGAAUCCGUCUUUUAUUAAUGCAGUAGCUAGAAGUAAAUAGCAGUGCAACAUGACAGACUUUCCAGAUUUGAAGGAGCUGGAAAAUAAAGUUGGCCGGAAAACACCAGAAAGUCUUAUACUUUGGAUGAGGAAUGCUGCCGACUCACAAGAUGUGGAGAUAGAGCAUCAAAACUGCAUACUCAGUGAUUCUUUUGCCAACAAAUUGAGCAACCUUAAGCAAGAGAUGAAGUGGAUGCGCUCUGCGGAUGUGAGGAUUCUACGCCAGCUGGUUGCUGUGCACGAGGGCAUCGAGUCCAUGCGCUGGCUCAUGAUGGAGUGGAGUACCUUGGCCGAUCGUGACAGCAGCCUGACAGGAAGUCUAAGCAGCUUGGUGACAGUUGAGGAGGGUGCACGCUCACUAACUCCAUGCAGGUGCAGUGUUAGGGGGGAAACAAUGGAGAAAAUACAUUUGACAUACCCUGAGAAUUUGCCCGAUACCUUUAGUCAAGAAUCAUCAGGUCAUUCACCGCACAAUGACAGUGACCAGUCACAUCAAAAUAGCUGUGUUGAAAUGUCAAGCCAAGAGUUCAGCCCAUCCACAAACUGUUUCGUUGAGAACGACUUCCAAGAGUCAGAACCCCAGGACUCAGAAGCUCACUCUCCGCAGGAACUAAAAGUGGGCGCUGGCCCUAAUAAAGAAGUGAAUGAAAGGUCGCAAGAGACAAAGCAACAAAGCCACAACAGCAUAAGAGAAGAGGAUGAAAAGAUGGCUGCAGUUUUGUUUGGGUAUGAUGCUCAAUGGUGCUGGAUAGAGUCACAAGAUGACGUGAUGUUUUUGUGAUCUGCAAUUAGCGCAACACAAAAUACAUGUCCAUAACGUGAGACACUAUUUUUCCUAAUGAAAAGUGCAACAUGUAUUGCAGUAAGUAAAUUUAAAUAGUAAAUGCAUUCAGGUUUUAUUGCAGUAAGUUUUUAUAUAUAUUUUUUUACAAGUUUUAUGAUCUUCGCAAAUAUUGCAAAUUACAAUAUUUGAUUUAUUCUAUUAUGAAAUUUAAAUUUGUAGAAAAAUUGAGUAGGCUGCCUAUCCUCGCAUUUCAAUAUGCUUUUGUUUUUUGCUAUACAGUAUAAUCUGAAUGGACUACCUACUAUAUGCAGGGGCUGUUUUCAUCUUGAGGUUACUUUCUUAAUGUCAAAUAUACGACUAUCAAA